GAUCAAGACACCACGACAAAUCGCAGCCACCUUCACCAGGGCAUGAACCCUUUUCACACCUCCUGGAACAUCACAUCAAAGGCCCAAGCCUGGCAGCCAGCCCCCCUCCUUGGUGUCCACCUUGCAGGGGGGACAUGAUGGAAGAACACGGAACUGGGUCCCCAGAGUGACCAGGUCUCCGCAAGGGAUCGUAGGUGCUAGGAAGAGAAGCGGAAACUGG